AUUGAACGCUGGCGGCAGGCCUAACACAUGCAAGUCGAACGAGUGGCGGACGGGUGAGUAAUGUCUGGGAAACUUCCUGAUGGAGGGGGAUAACUACUGGAAACGGUAGCUAAUACCGCAUACCAUCAGAUGUGCCCAGAUGGGAUUAGCUAGUUGGUGGGGUAACGCCUCACCACGGCGACGAUCCCUAGCUGGUCUGAGAGGAUGCCCAGCUACACUGGAACUGAGACACGGUCUAGACUCCUACGGUAGGCAGCAGUGGGGAAUCUUGCACAAGGGGAGCAAGGCUGAUGCAGCCAUGCGGCGUGUGUGAAGAAGGUCUUCGGAGUGUAAAGCACUUUAAGGUGGGAGGCGUUACCAACAGACUAAGCACCGGCUAACUGCGUGCCAGCAGCCGCGGUAAUUC
rnacentral:rRNA from 1 species